rnacentral:rRNA from 1 species
GUAGGUGGCAAGCGUUGUCCGGAAUUAUUGGGCGUAAAGCGCGCGCAGGUGGUUUCUUAAGUCUGAUGUGAAAGCCCACGGCUCAACCGUGGAGGGUCAUUGGAAACUGGGGAACUUGAGUGCAGAAGAGGAAAGUGGAAUUCCACGUGUAGCGGUGAAAUGCGUAGAGAUGUGGAGGAACACCAGUGGCGAAGGCGACUUUCUGGUCUGUAACUGACACUGAGGCGCGAAAGCGUGGGGAGCAAACAGGAUUAGAUACCCUGGUAGUCCACGCCGUAAACGAUGAGUGCUAAGUGUUAGGGGGUUUCCGCCCCCCUUAGUGCUGCAGCUAACGCAUUAAGCACUCCGCCUGGGAGUACGGCCGCAAGGCUG